rnacentral:rRNA from 1 species
UACGUAGGUGACCAGCGUUGUCCGGAUUUACUGGGCGUAAAGAGCGCGCAGGCGGUCGUUCAAGUCGAGUGUGAAAGCCCCCGGCUCAACUGGGGAGGGUCACUCGAUACUGAUCGACUUGAAGGCAGGAGAGGGAAGCGGAAUUCCCCGGUGUAGCGGUGAAAUGCGCAGAUAUCAGGAGGAACACCUAUGGCGAAGGCAGCUCGCUGGGACGGUAUUGACGCUGAGACGCGAAAGCGUGGGGAGCGAACAGG